rnacentral:misc_RNA from 1 species
AACAAGGCGUACCUGCGGACCUGCGGAGGGAUCAUUAUCGAGUUGCAAAACUCCAACCCAUGUGAACAUACCUCAGUCGUUGCUUCGGCGGUUUUUUUCGAAAAAGCCGCCGGAGGUUUCAAACUCUUGUUUUUAUCAGUGUAUCUCUGAGCCUGAAAAUAAUAAUCAAAACUUUUAACAACGGAUCU